UUUAUAGAAGCCACACAACAUAAGACAAAAAUGACUUUUAUCUCCAUAACUAUCUUGGUCCUUGCAUUUUACACAAAUGGCUGUGCUGGGGACAUUCUAUUGACCCAGACUCCUGCAGUUGUCAUGGUCCAGUCUGGAGAGUCUGCCACGAUCAGCUGUAAAGCCAGUAGUGCCAUUGACGAUGACUUAGCCUGGUACCAUCAAAAACCUGGAGAAGCUCCUAAAUUCAUCAUCAACUUUAACACAGGUUUAACAUCUGGUCGAUAUCAAGGCACUGGAUAUGAUAUUGAGUUCACCCUGACCAUCAGUGGAGUUCAAGCCGAAGAUGCAGGAGAUUACUACUGUCAGCAGCAUGAAGCUGAUCCGAUCACACAGUGAUACAGAGCUGUACAAAAACCUCCCUCAGCUGUAGAGGAAGUGAUCUAAAUCUGCCUACUGGGGACUUUCACAAAUGUUGUGUUGAAAUACAAUAUUAAUAUUUAUCGUGACAAGGAUUAUCAUGACAAAUACAGAUGAAAUCUCGCUUCUUGUGACGGCCGGCCGCCCAACAACCUGCCCGCUUGACCCUAUCCCC